AACUUUCAACAACGGAUCUCUUGGCUCUGGCAUCGAUGAAGAACGCAGCGAAAUGCGAUAAGUAAUGUGAAUUGCAGAAUUCAGUGAAUCAUCGAAUCUUUGAACGCACAUUGCGCCCGCCAGCACUCUGGCGGGCAUGCCUGUUCGAGCGUCGAUAUC
rnacentral:rRNA from 2 species